rnacentral:rRNA from 1 species
UAGGGAAUCUUCGGCAAUGGGGGCAACCCUGACCGAGCAACGCCGCGUGAGUGAAGAAGGUUUUCGGAUCGUAAAGCUCUGUUGUAAGAGAAGAACGUGUGUGAGAGUGGAAAGUUCACACAGUGACGGUAACUUACCAGAAAGGGACGGCUAACUACGUGCCAGCAGCCGCGGUAAUACGUAGGUCCCGAGCGUUGUCCGGAUUUAUUGGGCGUAAAGCGAGCGCAGGCGGUUUAAUAAGUCUGAAGUUAAAGGCAGUGGCUUAACAAUUGUUCGAUUUGGAAACUGUUAAACUUGAGUGCAGAAGGGGAGAGUGGAAUUCCAUGUGUAGCGGUGAAAUGCGUAGAUAUAUGGAGGAACACCGGUGGCGAAAGCGGCUCUCUGGUCUGUAACUGACGCUGAGGCUCGAAAGCGUGGGGAGCAAACAGG